rnacentral:rRNA from 1 species
GACGGAGGGUGCUAGCGUUGUUCGGAAUUACUGGGCGUAAAGGGCGCGUAGGCGGCCUGGUCAGUCAGGUGUGAAAGCCCGGGGCUCAACCCCGGAACGGCACCCGAGACGGCCAGGCUGGAGACCGGGAGAGGAGGGUGGAAUAGCCAGUGUAGAGGUGAAAUUCGUAGAUAUUGGCUGGAACACCGGUGGCGAAAGCGGCUCUCUGGCCCGGUUCUGACGCUGAGGCGCGAAAGCGUGGGGAGCAAACAGG